CAGAAUUUGGCACAUGAGCAGAGACACUAGUGUGUGUCUCAGUCACGUGGUUUACACGGCCUUGGACACAGGCGUGUUACACAGCCGUGUGAAAACUGCACCUAAAUUUCGAAAAUUAAAUUCGCCACAUGGCCUAGCACAUGGGCGUGUAAUUGGCCAUGUGACUUCAAUUUCUUCAUGCCUUAAAAGUCAGAUAGUUACACGGGUUAAGGACACGGACGUGUGUAGUACGCGGCUUGACCACACGGGCGUGUGAGCCCUGCAACUUUCGAAAAUUUUUAAAAUGUCACGAAAUAUUCUUAGAGUUCUCAA
rnacentral:lncRNA from 1 species